rnacentral:rRNA from 1 species
AUUGAACGCUGGCGGCAGGCCUAACCCAUGCACGUCGAACGAGUGGCGUACGGGUGAGUGAUGUCUGGGAAACUGCCUGAUGGAGGGGGAUAACUACUGGAAACGGUAGCUAAUACUGCAUACCAUCAGAUGUGCCCAGAUGGGAUUAGCUUGUUGGUGGGGUAAGGGCUCACCAAGGCGACGAGCCCUAGCUGGUCUGAGAGGAUGACCAGCCAAACUGGAACGGAGACACGGGCCAGACUCCUACGUGAGGCAGCAGUGGGGAAUAUUGCACAAGGGGCGCGAGCCUGAUGCAGCCAGGCCGCGUGGAUGAAGAAGGCCGUCGGGUUGUAAAGUACUUUCAGCGGGGAGGCGUUACCCGCAGAAGAAGCACCGGCUAACACCGUGCCAGCAGCCGCGGUAAUUC